rnacentral:rRNA from 1 species
UGCCCUAGUAACGGCGAGUGAAGCGGCAACAGCUCAAAUUUGAAAUCUGGCUCUUUUAGGGUCCGAGUUGUAAUUUGCAGAGGGCGCUUUGGCGUUGGCAGCGGUCCAAGUUCUUUGGAACAGGACGUCACAGAGGGUGAGAAUCCCGUACGUGGUCGCUAGCCAUCACCGUGUAAAGCCCCUUCGACGAGUCGAGUUGUUUGGGAAUGCAGCUCUAAAUGGGAGGUAAAUUUCUUCUAAAGCUAAAUACUGGCCAGAGACCGAUAGCGCACAAGUAGAGUGAUCGAAAGAUGAAAAGCACUUUGGAAAGAGAGUCAAAUAGCACGUGAAAUUGUUGAAAGGGAAGCGCUUGCAGCCAGACUUGCCUGUAGUUGCUUAUCUAGGCUUUUGUCUAGUGCACUCUUCUGCAGGCAGGCCAGCAUCAGUUUAGGCGGUUGGAUAAAGGUCUCUAUCACGUACCUCCCUUCGGGGUUGGCCUUAUAGGGGAGACGACAUGCAGCCAGCCUGAACUGAGGUCCGCGCAUCUGCUAGGAUGCUGGCGUAAUGGCUGUAAGCGGCCCGUCUUGAAACACGGACC